CUUUGGCUUUUGAAUUUUCAAAAUGGCUGCCGAUCGACUGGCAAUGGGGGAAGGGUGCCAUCCGCUAUUGCUUGCAAUGGCAAAUCUAGUUAUUAUUAUUUUUAUUAUUUUUCUUCCACACAUUUUGUCCAGGCGAUUUCUCAAAAUCUAUAGGACCAAAGUUGAUGGUACUUUACUAUAUUAAGGACCCCCAUGUGCAAAGUUGCAGGAAACAUGGAAUGGUUCAAGAUGGCUACCGUUACCAUGGAAACAGAACAAAUGUUAAAAAAUCCAGUUUUUGGUUUUAGUGAACUGUUUGGAUAUGCUUUAUCUCAGAAUCAUCAUAUUUUAAUACAAUGUAGGUGCCCACUAUAUACAGGUGUUGGAUAAUUUUGGCACUCAUUGGAACUACUAUGUUGCCAUGGAAACCACUCCAAAAAUUUCAAAAUUCUCAAAAUGCUCCAAACUUCAGGAAACUUCACAGUAACGAUGAGCAACAUUGGAAGAUGUGGCAUUUGGAGUUGGAAUUUCCAAAAUAUCUGUUGUUACCAUGGAAACAAUGCUAAAAGGUCAAAAAAUUCAAAAAAAAUUAAAAUGCUGCAAACUGGAUAAAACUUUACAGGAAUGGUCAAUGGCAUCAGCAGAAUUGACUUUUGAAGUUUGAAUUUCAAAAUGGCCGCCGUAACCAUGGAAACAGCAAAAAUUUCAAAAAUUUCAAAAUGCUCCAAAAUUGACGAAACUUUACAAAAAUGUUAAUUGGCAUGUGUAUAUGUUAUCUUUGACUUUGGAAUUUUCAAAAUGGCUGCCGCUCACCUGGCAAUGGGGGAAGGGUGCCAUCCGUUAUUGCUAGCAAUUACAAAUCUAGUUUUUAUUAUUUUUAUUCUUCCACACUUUUUGUCCAAGACAGUUCUCGGAAUUGGAUGGACCAAUCUUGAUGGAACUAUGCUAUAAUGUUGUCCACCAUGUGAAGUUGUGCACCUGACUUUGGAAUGUGCAAGAUGGCCGCGGUUACCAUGGAAACUAAAAAAAUGUAAA
rnacentral:lncRNA from 1 species